rnacentral:rRNA from 1 species
CCUACGGGGUGCAGCAGUGAGGAAUAUUGGUCAAUGGACGAGAGUCUGAACCAGCCAAGUAGCGUGAAGGAUGACUGCCCUAUGGGUUGUAAACUUCUUUUAUAUGGGAAUAAAAUGUUCCACGUGUGGGAUUUUGUAUGUACCAUAUGAAUAAGGAUCGGCUAACUCCGUGCCAGCAGCCGCGGUAAUACGGAGGAUCCGAGCGUUAUCCGGAUUUAUUGGGUUUAAAGGGAGCGUAGGUGGAUUGUUAAGUCAGUUGUGAAAGUUUGCGGCUCAACCGUAAAAUUGCAGUUGAAACUGGCAGUCUUGAGUACAGUAGAGGUGGGCGGAAUUCGUGGGGUAGCGGUGAAAUGCUUAGAUAUCACGAAGAACUCCGAUUGCGAAGGCAGUUCACUGGACUGCAACUGACACUGAGGCUCGAAAGUGUGGGUAUCAAACAGGAUGAGAUACCCGUGUAGGC